CUGACCAUUACCAGAAGCAUCCCAGUCUCUUCUCACAAAAGCUUUCCUCUUCUCCUCUAAGAACUGACUGGGGAUGAGACCGGUGGCUCCACCAACAACUUUGCGUGCCUAUGUGGAAAUCAGAGUAGUUGAGAGUCAAUUAUGUGGUGCAGCUCUGCUCCAAGCAACCCUGUCCUUCAACCACCACAGAGCAAAAUGUGCCUGCUCACCUGCCACCAGUUGGGGUCCUCCUUGUUGACUACAUGGAGGAUGUCUCCCUUGAAAAAGGCCAGGCCUGCCUCUUUACAGGGGAUCAAGUUGUCUGUGGCUGGAUUAUAGUUGAAGUGUGGCUUCAGAUAGACCUAAAAUUUAGAAUGUGAACAAGA